CCAGUCGUCACGUUCUGUUUUUAUUUACAUUUAUUGACAUUUUACACAGCAUGUAAAAUGCAAAACCAGAAUCAUGGUAAACCUCCAGAAUGUAUUAUUACACUUUAAUCUCAUUAGUUGUCUUAAUGAUGCUCGUCUUAUUGGCUGAUCGAUAUGAAAUGUCUGCAUAUUCAAGUGGUUGCAAGGACAAACUCGAAGACUUCAAAUGGUCUCGUUGGUAAAAGUUUAUUUCCACGAUAAUUCCAAUACACUCAUACCAGCCGGCACUCGCAUUUUCUGUGAUCACUCCCAUAUUUUUCCCUCCUCCUUUCUCCCAAGUCAAACAACAGUCACUAAGCCUUAUCAUGUGUGGGCUAAUUUGAGCUAGAGCCCAACUCACUUCUGGGAAGUGUCCGAUUUUGACAGUACUUUAUUUGUUCAGUUCCCGGAAUAAUUUAAAAGGAGUUUCCAACCUUCAGAAUAGUUUGGCAUUUUUGGCAGGUGGAAAGAGAGCAAAAAUUUUUAAAGGAAAAUAGCAUAUAAAGACAUCAUUAAAUCAGUACAACUACACAUGUGAAUUAGACCUGUAAAUCACCAAGCCACACACUGCUUAAUGACAGUCUUUUUAGAAUAAAUCUCUCAUAAAGCCAAAUAUAAUCUGAGACAACAUUCAGUAUGCAGCCGAACAAAUUCAGCACUUACGCUUGCACUUUAUUGGGAGCUCAUGACGUGAGAAAUAGUUCAAUAUGAUCAAAAUAUAUCGGUUAAAAAACAUUCUGUCUUGGGCCUUGUUUACUAAGUGAUAUGUGUUCACGUGUUAGGCGUACGGUGGGUUCAUCCAUAUGAAAUGAUGCCCGUUUUCAUCAAGUUAUGAGACCGUUUAAAGGAAAUGGGUGAAGCCACUUUGGUCAAACUCAAUUAUGGUUUUAGCGCGAGUGAAUCUGAAUUCACAAAAGAAGCUCUGGGGUGAUAUCUGCUUUAAUGCAGGACAUUUGAAUAUGUUCUCUAUCAUGACUAGCUAGGAUUAGCUUCGUCUGCUGCAGGUCACUCUGCAAGAAGACUGAGUUAGGUUUAGUUGUAGUUGGUGCCAGAUGAGCAAAUGAGUUUUAAUGGGCAAUCAAAUGAGCUUCACAGAUUGGUCAGUGAAUUUGAAGAAUCGUCACGGCAGACAGGGUAAUCCCUGGAGCCUGGAGAAUACUGUAACAGUUUGUUCCAAGAUAAAGAAGCAACGAAGAUCAGCGAGAGACAAUACAGGCUGCGGUAGACAUAACAGGCAAAAACUUUGUUGACAGUGCAAUCAGAACGGGCUUUAAGUCGAGAUCAGCCCCCAGCAAUUAAUACUGUCAAGUAUUUGAGCUGUAAAAAUGACCAAAAUGUGCGUCUGUAUCAUCUAAGGCCAGCCCAAGUCAAUUUUUUUUCUAUUUUUUUUCUUUGUAAAAUGCAUUAGUAAUGCAUUAGUAAUGCAUAAGUAAUUUUUUUUUUUUUUUUUUUUGCGUUAAGUGAGAAAUGAUCGAAAUAAUAGAUAAUGCAGUUUAGGAUGAUUAUUUUUUUGGUCUGAAUCCAUUAAUCGAUACGAGACAAGCACAAACACAUCAGUCUAAUGAAGUUUCCAACAAACAGUAGUAGCUGAGAACCGGAGAUAUUUGACAUAUGUUAUUAUGACAGAAUAUUUUGAGCAGGUUUUAACUUCUCAGCAGUUAUCAAAAUCUGGUUCUCACUUGGAGAGACACCUUUCUGAUAACGUUACCAUAAAUUAAUAGCCAAA
ensembl:lncRNA